rfam:Stegodyphus mimosarum contig59735, whole genome shotgun sequence.
GCCUUCGUCGUGCAGUGGUCAGCACGCUCGACACGCAUUCAAGAGGUCCGUCGUUCGAGUCCCGACGAAGGCA